UAAAGGAUAUAAAUUUUUCAGAAGAACUAGAAGAAGAAAUAACAGAAUGUAAACUGAGAAAUGAGAGAAGUUUUGAUGAGUGCAGAAAAUCAAGAAUUUAGUGUGUGUGAGACCCUAAUGGACUGCAGGAAUCUUCCACAGAAGCUCCCCAUUCAUCCAAUAUGAACAAUGAUGCAGAAAAAAAAUGUAAUAAGGCAUCUAGAGAAAAAAUCUGUCAUGGAAGACCAAAAGCAUACCUCAGAAGAAGAGCAGAGAAGGCACAGUGGUAGAAAAACUAAGCGACCAUUUAUUGAUGCUAUAAGAGCAUGUUUUUGUGCAUGUUUCACCAAAAAAUGGAGCUCUUCUCCCCUCCACAAGAAAUAGAAGACAUAAAAAA